AUACGUAGGGUGCAAGCGUUAAUCGGAAUUACUGGGCGUAAAGCGUGCGCAGGCGGUUCGGAAAGGAGGAUGUGAAAUCCCAGGGCUCAAAUUUGGAACUGCAUUCUUAACUACCGAACUAGAGGAUGUCAGAGGUGGGUAGAAUUCCGCGUGUAGCAGUGAAAUGCGUAGAUAUGCGGAGGAAUACCGAUGGCGAAGGCAGCCCCCUGGGAUAAUACUGACGCUCAUGCACGAAAGCGUGGGUAGCAAACAGGAUUAGAUACCCUGGUAGUCCGCGCCCUAAACGAUGUCAACUAGCUGUUGGGCCCUUCGGGGCUUAGUAGCGUAGCUAACGCGUGAAGUUGACCGCCUGGGGAGUACGGUCGCAAGAUUAAAACUCAAAUGAAUUGACGGGG
rnacentral:rRNA from 1 species